UGCAAGUCGAGCGGUAGAGAGAAGCUUGCUUCUCUGAGAGCGGCGGACGGGUGAGUAAUGCCUAGGAAUCUGCCUGGUAGUGGGGGAUAACGUCCGGAAACGGACGCUAAUACCGCAUACGUCCUACGGGAGAAAGCAGGGGACCUUCGGGCCUUGCGCUAUCAGAUGAGCCUAGGUCGGAUUAGCUAGUUGGUGGGGUAAUGGCUCACCAAGGCGACGAUCCGUAACUGGUCUGAGAGGAUGAUCAGUCACACUGGAACUGAGACACGGUCCAGACUCCUACGGGAGGCAGCAGUGGGGAAUAUUGGACAAUGGGCGAAAGCCUGACCCAGCCAUGCCGCGUGUGUGAAGAAGGUCUUCGGAUUGUAAAGCACUUUAAGUUGGGAGGAAGGGCAGUUACCUAAUACGUGAUUGUUUUGACGUUACCGACAGAAUAAGCACCGGCUAACUCUGUGCCAGCAGCCGCGGUAAUACAGAGGGUGCAAGCGUUAAUCGGAAUUACUGGGCGUAAAGCGCGCGUAGGUGGUUCGUUAAGUUGGAUGUGAAAUCCCCGGGCUCAACCUGGGAACUGCAUUCAAAACUGACGAGCUAGAGUAUGGUAGAGGGUGGUGGAAUUUCCUGUGUAGCGGUGAAAUGCGUAGAUAUAGGAAGGAACACCAGUGGCGAAGGCGACCACCUGGACUGAUACUGACACUGAGGUGCGAAAGCGUGGGGAGCAAAC
rnacentral:rRNA from 1 species